AAAUUGAAGAGUUUGAUCAUGGCUCAGAUUGAACGCUGGCGGCAGGCCUAACACAUGCAAGUCGAACGGUAACAGGAAGCGCUUGCUGCUUCGCUGACGAGUGGCGGACGGGUGAGUAAUGUCUGGGAAACUGCCUGAUGGAGGGGGAUAACUACUGGAAACGGUAGCUAAUACCGCAUAACGUCGCAAGACCAAAGAGGGGGGACCUUCGGGCCUCUUGCCAUCGGAUGUGCCCAGAUGGGAUUAGCUUGUUGGUGGGGUAACGGCUCACC
rnacentral:rRNA from 1 species